UCGGCCUAAGUGACUCCAAGUUGUUGUAAGUGCUGGCUGGCACGAAUUCAAAAACAAUAUCAAUGUCAACGAUUGGAAUAAAUUAUAUAUAUUUUCAUGAGUCUACCGUCUACUUGUACUCGGUUUGUUGAUAAAAACGAUUGCGUAAAUCACAAAACUUGGAUCGUUUCUACAUUUUGUUUUUUUUUUUUUGUUUUUUUUUUUCACAAAGGCUAAGAAGAUGCUUUGGAUUUGACGUAAUUAAUCUAGCAGCAUUAUUUUAGUUAGUGGUUGAUUUCCUUUUCUUGGUAGGUUUUGAACAAGUCCCAGGUUCAUCCAAUUUCAGCUUUCUUUGUAGCAAUUACAACAAGUUUGAACUGGUGUGGUGAGGGUCAAUAAAGUAAUUAGCCUCGUUGAAGAAAUGAGCAUCCCAUUCCAUUAAAUUAGCUUUUCGUUCCUUCUUAGGUUAGCUUUAUUCACUUGUUCUUAUUAUUAUAAAACUGAGUCCAAGAUUGAGACUCAACUACUUUAAAACAAGUUGGCAACCAAAACUACUCUAUUUUCUUGUAUAGGCCAAGACAGCAAAACAGAGCAAAAACUAUGGCCAAUUCCUCUUCCAUUUUUCUCUUCGCCUUUUACAUGUUCACGGCAACUCUGAUCAUCUCCACUUGGACCGUCCAUGCAGGCAGCGAUCACGGGUUGAGCUGGGUUCCAGGCAGAACCCGCUGCCAGGGUUCGAUUGCGGAGUGCAUGGCUGAUGAUGAAUUUGACAUGGACUCUCAGAUCAACAGGCGGAUACUGGCCACCUCACAAUACAUCAGCUAUGGAGCUCUGCAGAGGAACACUGUGCCAUGCUCUCGGAGAGGUGCGUCCUACUACAACUGCAAGCCAGGUGCAGAGAGUAACCCCUACAACCGUGGAUGCAGUGCUAUUGCUCGUUGCCGUAGCUGAUCGAAAGUGUAGCCUAUUUUACUAUGUUUAUGCCUUGGCUUGUUGUGGAUUGUAAUGUUCAUAUUCUUGCUUUAUCUUCUGUUUUUAUCCCAACUUCAAUACAGUACCAGACUUCAGAUAAAAGAAAACACACAGGUUCCUCUGUGAAAUGUUGAAAAUUAGAAAGCGGAUCGUCUCAGAUUUUGCUUUACUUAAGCAGGCAAUGUUUCUUGGUCAACCUUGUUCUUUAACUUAAGAAUCUAUCCUCCUAAUGAACUUUCUGCUUUGUUCUUUCUUUAUGUCCUCCCACUUUAAUGUGUAUGUCUGGUUAGAGCCAAAGUCGACCCCAUCUAGGGCCUGUUAGUUGCAGGAUCAUAGUACCAGGAUUUUAUGAAAUAUAAAGAUGUUUUCGAAUGAAAAUAUUUUCUCAGCAACCAAACGCUCUCAGAAAUUCAAAUUUAAAAAUACAUACAGCAGUGAAUUGUUAAACGCUUUAGACAAUUCUGAUAACAAAUCAGUCUUGAAACGGGGCUACUAGCUGCAAAUACAAUCAAUGAUCAAAAAUCAUGUCAUAUUCAUGACUUUUGCCUAACAUGGCCCAUACAAUUAAAAUUUCGUUCGAAAGAUAAAUUAGCUACAAGAGCACAUUGGAAGCUUAUAAUCUUCACAGUAACAUCAGCUUUAAUAGCUUAAGCACACAUACAGAAACACAGACAAAGAUGGCAAAAAGUAAAAAAAACUCGUCAAAUGUUCACAAUAUGACUAAUUUUAUGCAGAACCUUCUUGUUGCUUCACUUCACCUGCCUCUGGCUUGGGCUGCUGCACGGGAGAUGGAGAGCCCUCGAUUCCCAUCUCUGUUCUUAGGUCGUUGAUGCUAUGCUCCAACUCAUUUAUGCGAGUUCCCAUCUCGUCAAGUGAAUCACAGUCAAGAAAACACAAAAUAGAUUUCAUUUAAACCACUACAAUGAUAUGACACAGACAGUAAGGUUUCAAACCCAUUAAGUUCCAACUUAUCUGAACUACCAGCCAAAACCAGAAAACAUCGAUACACCUAGUUUGUAAAAACAGCUUCCUAUGGUGGCAGGCCAAAUGACAAUUUUAAGGCUUUCAAUAAGCAUACAUAAACCAAAUCAUUUAUAUUAGUUUCAUUUACAUUAGUUAGACAUAUUAAUAGGUGUACCUCCAGGAGGUAUCUAAUAAAAUUGACGAAGAACCAAAUUUGCGAUUGUAAAAAUUAAAGAAAAUGAGGAAAGGAUAUUCUUUGUAACGAUGGAGUCGGACAUUGUUUGGAACCGAGAUUGCUGCAGGCAGAAAUUUUAUUAGCAACAGUCAGUUAUGUGACCAACAUAAGCUCUAACUUAUAACUCACAACUCACCAUCUGCUGAAGAAGGUUUUGCACCUGCAAAAAAUAAAUGCACAAAAAUUAUGACAAGAACACAACAGAAAACAAACAUUUACCAACACAAGAUUCUUGUAUAAAUAAUCCAAUAAUGUUAAAGUCCUACAUUCUUCAACAACUAUCAUAACUUAUAAGCUAUGCCGACAUUUAUGAUGUUGCGAGAAAAUCAAGGCACUCACAAAAGCAGACAUGUCUGCGGUGCUUUGCUUUGAAUCUUCUGAAUCAUGCCCAUCCUGCCAAGAUAAACAUAUCACAGUAAAUCAGGCACUUGAAGUCCAAAGUGUUUGAAAUGGUGGCCCUAGCGACAUGUCGUACUAUCAAUAAGGCAUAAAACGACGCGCAAUUGAGCGAGUUGCAACAACCAGUGAGAAAGGCAAAACAUUUCCUGUAUAAUUCAAAACAUACAAAACAAAUUCUUGGCAUCCAAAUUUGAAACUACAUGCAUCGCAAUUUCAAAUUUCAAAAAUAGUAGAAAUCGUGGAGUUAGAACAAAUCUAAAGACAGUAAAUACACAGUUUUCGAAUUGAAUCGGACUUGAAAUAUUAGGAACCCUAGCGGCUUAAUUGUGCGAAAUUAAAUGAUUUAUUUCGGCAAAAACAAAAAAUCACAGAAAAAGAAAAACAAGAAAACUAGGAUUGAGAAGAGAGAAGAUUGCCAUUACCAUCCUCUAAAAAUUUCGGAAACGACCUUCUUGCUCCAACCUUCCGUACAGUAGCUCUACAAGGCUAUUAGCUGAUGCGUGGAUGAUUUUGGGUGCGGCGUGGGCUGUGGUUUAUAUUUCCGGUGCUGCGUUUUAAGGUCAAGUUACAUAUAGGCCCUUGUUUGGAAAAUAAAUUAACAUUUGUGCCGCCCAACCCAAGUGGAUAUGUUAGGGUCAUUUUGCCAUGGUAUUUGAAUUCAAAAUUUAUAUCUAAGAAGGAAAGAAUGGGCAUUUUAGUCAGAGUAGGAAAGUCGAAGAAUUGAUGUUGAAAAUAAUAGCGCCACUGAAAUUUCAAAAUUUCAUUAUCCCAAAACUCUUUUCUCUUUAUUUUAUUAAAUAACCAAAAAAUUAGAGAGCAAGUGCAAAAGCCCAAGCAAAUAGAACAAGGCUGAAUGAGAUACAAGGCCCAAGAGAUAGGCCAUGCACAACUAUGAACAACCCAAAACCCAAGAUUUUUUGCCAAGCUCCAUACCUCUUCCCUUAAACCCAUUUGAUUCCCUCAACCCAAAAUUUUUCUAAACUUUGAAUGUGAGCAUCUAAUUCAAAAUUAACUACGUAUGGGAUACGUACCAGUAUCAAAGUAGAUGUUAAUUUUGGUAGAUUAUGCUUAACAGUAAACUGAUAUGUAACAGCUGAAGAUUAGAAAAUUUAUAAAAUUACAAAACAAACUUGUAAAGAAACAAACUCAGCACAUGGUCUUAUUGUAAUUCCCAAAUACUUGAUUAAGAAAAUUUCAAAGCUCAAUAAGGAAGUGUGUAAUAUUGUGCUUUUCCUAGCUAUAUAUGUUAGAAAGAAAGAAAGCAAAAAUGGGAGUUCAUUGCUAAUAUGUUUGAGCUCCCAUCAUCAUCAAGCUAUGGGGAGGGGAAGGGGGACGGGGCGGGGCGGGGCUGCUCAAAGUAAAAACUAGAACUAAGCAGCCGAAGGGGCACUUCUUCCUUGAACAAUGUCACUGAGUGGUUCUGGGUCAACCAAAGUAGCAACAGCAGGAGCCGCCUUCAAAUCCAAUGUCUUGUCUUCGUAAAUGUCCCACCAUUUCUUCACCAGCAUUUUUAUGUCUUCUCUUUCCAUGUUCUCCUCCUCCCCUGUGUACCUCCAUGGCUUUGAUCCCUAAUAACAUUAAUUCAUGUUUAAUUAGUAUUACUAAUAAUAAUCCAUCUUAUGAAUAAUAAUUUAUUGGUUAAUCUAUUUAUGAUAUCCAACCAAUUACUCACCGCAGCACAAUAGUGAACAACUUUGAGUGCAUCAAGCUUCGCAUUCUCAGGAUGUCGCCAUAGCAUAGCCAAAACAAAGUUGUACUCGGAAGGGAUAGGCUUAUAGAUAUCCCUAAAGAACAUGUUCAACAAGUCCUGGAACACAGAAAGGAAUUAAAUUCCCGAAACUAUGAUUAUUAAUUUAUUAAUGAGGAAAAUAUUAGCCAUUAUUAAUUCAUGAAGUACCUGCUCAGCAAAUGGAGUGGGAGGAGUAGCUUGGACGGCAGCCAAGAGGUCAUUGUAGGUGGAGAUUUUAGGCUCAUACACAAACAUGCCGGCGUUGAAGUAAGGCGGGGGUGGAGACCCUAACUCAGCUGCAGGCCACUGAACCUUUUCCGGGCAUUGUUGGCAAUAUCCAAUCUUGUUCUGAGGGGUGUGGCUCCAUGUUUUCUCACAGAAGCAGUCCAUGACGGCGUACAAGAAGCCAUCGGGGAGCUCAAAAAGGUGGUCAAUAUUCUCAAACACUUGUAUGUCUCCGUCCAAAUAUAUCAUCUUGCUAUACUCCACAAACUACGCAAAACACAAUUGAAAUAUAUGUAACCACACACAAAAGGAUCCAUGCAUGCAUGCGACAAUAUUAUACUACAAUUAGCUAGGGUAUAUUUAUCACAGAAAGUCUCCGCGAAGGAUUUUAUGCAAAAUAUAUUAGUUAAAGACUUUUAAUCUCAAUUAUUUAUUGGAAUUAGAAAAAUAUGUAACAUACUAAACAUAUAUAAUGGAUGACUGUGAUUAUAAAUUCUUAAUUAAUUCUUAACACAAAUCCUUACUGAAGAAGCUCCCUCCGUAUAUAUAUAGUGGAUACCUUAAAAAUCCGAAGCUUAGAGUAAUUAAUGACAUAAUAAGCCAUGGCAAACUGGGUUUGGUGAUUCUCUGACGGGUAAACAGGCUCGAUCUCUUGGACAAUACAGCCUUGGGAUUCAAGAAUGUCCCUGUGGUCCUGGGGAACAUCAGGAAGCACCGCCACGACAAGUGGGUAUUGGGACUUGGCCUUUCUUAAGCCCUUAGCCAAACCCACAACUCCCUUCACAUAGUCUUUGUUGCCUGCCAAGAAGGUGACAUAGGCUUUGCUCACGGGGUCCAUAUGAUUUGAUUAGCAAAUGACGAGACCAAGAACAAUACAAGAAACAAAUCAACACACAGAAGAAAGAUGGGGGUGGAGGGUUUUGGAGAAGGGUUUCUGGGUCUUUAUAAGAUUUUGGAAGGAAAUCUAUUGAUAAGACUUGUAUCUCAUGCAAUAUCUUGAUUAUAUUGCCAUUUAUACGUAGAAUGUGAAUAAUUAAGUAAAUUUAGGUUUUACCCAUAAAAAAACUUUCACUUUUAGAAAAAGCCAAAGCUUUUUCAAAAAAGACAGAAUAACCUCUCAACUUUCAAACCAAAGACAUGCAAAUGUAAAGGAUUUCUUAGGAAAUCAAAAAAUAAAUAAGGGCAAUUUUGUCCAUUUUUGCUUCUUUUAAAAAUUUUCUCUCUCCUUUGGGCUUUUCCAAAGUCUCCCGAAUAAUUAUUUGUUGAUUAUAUAGCACUCAUUUGAUCAGAAGGGAUGAUCAGUUCUAAAUGGAAAUUAAUUUAUUGUAAACCGAAAUGAUAGAUGAAUUAUCAAGAAAUUAGCCCAAUAAAAAGGGUAAUAAAACGUUGCGUCGGUCCCAAGAAAAUUUAAAAUUAUCCAUUUGUCCAAGAUUCGAAAGCAACUUCGAUCAAGAGUAUUAAUUGCUUCCUUCGAGUCAGAAAUCUUAUGCUCAUUUUCUACGCGAUUGAUUAAUAUAUUGCAAUCUGUAUUUUGUGAGACUCGAUUUAGUAACAACAUUGUUUUCGGGUUUCAGAUUAUAUAUAUUUUUUGAAAAAUAAUAAAUAAAAAAUUGAAAGCAUUACAGUGACUCCAAACAUUCCCUUUCUGGCAUGAGUAUUCAUUCCUCAAAUGUCAAUGAACAAAAGAAUAUUCCAUUUUAUAAUCAAGUAUUAUUUAUGUACUCUUGUGUCACAAGUAUACAGUUUCGGAAUAUUCUACGUAAAUUCAUUUUAUGGAUUCCCAAAAAAUCAAGGAGAAAAAGAAUAGAGAGAGAGGAUUGGGGAGCUCGAAAAAAGAGAAAUACUUCCCUAUUCCCGUUUCAUUGUCCCUUGGAAAAUAUUUUUCGUAAAACAGAAGCUCAGACAUAAUCAAACUCAAUUAACAUCCACCAUCUUGCUUGAUCAUCGUCCUCAGCCUCAACCUUAUUCGUUUAUCGAUUAACUUCUUUAUGACAAAAUAAAGUUGAAUGCUGCUAGAUUCCGAAAAAUUAUAAGCUAGAAAAAACAUAGUGAAAUAGAUGUCUUCUAAUAUCACCAAUUGUAUAAUUGUAUGGCCUAGCAGAUAUGACAGACGAUAACUAACUGAUACACAAUGAUGGAACAACAAUUGCAACAACAGAACCAAAACCCUAUGCUUUGUGGAGUACGGUACCAAGUUAAAACAACAUAAGAAACAGAUGCGUUGUUUAUGAGGAUACAACAUUUUCAGUUCCUUCUAUAUUGUGAAUUAGCUACUAUUGCAUGUAUAACUGCAGCUAUUUGGCUACCAGUCAUGAUUUAUACAGAAUAUCAUCCAGCAAAACUAACCACGAGUAGAACUGAUGGAUGUAUAUCUUUUUGCGCAGUGUUUGGGGACUUCCAAUCAAAUUCAUUUUUUCACACCUUCAUUGUAAUCUAUUUGCCAGCUAGGUGUGCUCAAUUUAAGGUAUGUUAGAUAAAGUUCUGGAAAACAUAACUCAAAACAAAUCUAAGCCACGACAAUAUAUUAAGGUAACAAGAUUUGUUGUGAGUUAUGUUCUCCAGCCCUGCUUACGCUAAUAAUUGAAGAUAUGAUACAAAAGACAUGUAUGGUAGGAGCUUAAUUACCCAAUACCCAAGAGAAUAAAGCAAGCCCUACCUCCAGCCUCUAGAAAUACAAAACGCAUACCAGGCCAAACAGAGCAUGAACUUCAGCUAAGUUUUCACCCUUAUAAUCCCAUGUUCUCAUUGUGACUCACACACCGGUCGGAAUAAACGACCAGUGAAUCACUGACAAACCUCAUCCCAAAAUAACUAAGACAAUUUUGAUCCAUGUAAUGGAAGAUCCAUGAUACCUCCAAUUACAUACAUUCCGAGGUAUGAGGGAAAGAAUUUAUACCAAUCGAUUACUAAGAAAUUGAAAUAACUACUACUGGUACCAGAAAAUGGAACGGCAUUUAACAAAACAAGUAUCAACCAGUAACCACUACUGGUUCAGCAAGCAUCAAACUUAAUUACGCAUCUGAGGUGAGAUCUAAUUCAAGCAUUGCACAUACCCAAUUAGAAUUCAAAUACCAAUGCAUUGGUGACCAACAAAAUGAGGAUUGGGUUUCAAAAAUCUCGACUAUACACAUGGUGAAAUAACACCCAUAGACCACAAAUCCCAUAUCUUCCAAGCAACAGCCGACAACUGAACUCUCAGCUGUUGCUUGGAAGACUUGUAAUGCUUGGACAAUCUUAUAGCCACAAACUGAACUGUCAGCUGUCACGACCUGAUCAGCAUAACCAGUACGUACAAUAAUAGUAACUCGAGCCAAUCCAUGAUGCAGCUUAAGAUUACUAAACUCCAUGGCUUAUACAGUUAUAAUAUACAAACACAAGUCUGAACUGGUUUCCAGACAUCAUGAAAAUUAAAAAUAUAAUGUCUACCCAAAAGCUACAAAAUUGAACAGCAAACAAUAAAUAAUCUCUCUGAUUUUAAUUUGGGAAGUAAUACAAAUUUAUAAGGAACAAAAGAAUACUAUCUCCACACCUAACACGAAAUAUUAGGCACAACAUACACAUCGUAACACAUCCUACAUCAUCCAAAAACAUGAGGUGAACAAGAGCUGAACUAGGAAGACGAUACCUUAACAGCCUUAAAUUCUGGAUGAAGCAAUCCAAGUUCAUCUUUAACCUCAAGUGGAUUGCUUGUUUCAUUACGAACUCUCUUAACUCUCCUACUACCCAAUGAGCUGUGUGUGAAUCCAUAGAUUUGAAGAAUCUGAUUGUCCCCGAAGUUAAAAGCUCUAUCCAUCUGCUUCAAGCAUCUCUCAACUGGGUAAUCUCCAAACUUUCCACAUGGCUUGCAACCAACAAAAUGUGUCACUAGCGGCCACCUGUGGUCACCCAAACCAGGAUGAUAAUUCUCAAUCAUUUCCUCAUAUCUAUCAACCAAAAUCCCCCAAUAACCAUGCAAAUAAUAUGCAUUCUCCAGAUAAACCUUAUCACCCCACUUCUCUCUUUGAGUGGCCAAUAUAUAAACCAUGGCUGACUGAUCAUCAGCUUCGAAUACCGGCCUAUCCUUAAGCUCCCUAGUGAGUAUCUUCCCAGCCUCAUCCCUAAUUUUCCCUUUAGGUCCCAUAGGAGCCCAAGUAUCAAGCAUAUCUAAUGACCACUGGGUAUUCCUUAACAAGAAGCUCCCGGUAUUGAGCCCAAUCCAAUUCUUUUGAUCAUAAACCAUCUCCUUCCAUCCAUGCAUUACAAAGUCAUAAUCUUUGUACCUCUCCCAGGGUACUUCAAAAGCCAUAUCUGUAAACAUGGCAUCACUAUCCAUCCACCAUAGAAACUCAACCUCCGGGUGAGACAAAAGGAGCUUCCGAAUCAACGGAAGCUUGGCCCAAAAACCAGCCAUUUCAGCAUCCAAAAGGGCCAUAUUGUAAAAAACCUCAAUCCCAUGCAACCUACAAUAAUCGAUUUUGUUCUUAAUCGACUUCAACAAGUAAUGGUCACCUACCGGGUUCUCACACGGUUUUGGCGACGACCCAGUUACCAGAAGCACUCUAGGCUUAUUGGGUCCGAUGAAAUUUGGGAAAUUAGGGUUUUCCUUAAGCCAUUUCGAUCUCUGCUCGUCCCAAUUUGAAAUCUUGGGUCCAAGAGUGUAGGGCUUAUUGGGCUCGGGUCUGUCUUCCUCUCCUUCGUCGACCAAGAUCUUGUUGAUAUCGAAGGCAUUGUAGUUGUUGGGAUCGGCCGGUGUUGACUGGACCUCCUCAAGGACGCGGUGAGGCUCUGCUCGCUUGCGAGAGUAGAAGUGAUCGCGAAUCUCGAUGAAGUCCUGCUCCGGAGUUCCAAACUUGCCGGCUCCGAUUGUGCCACGUAGGACGACAACAGUGAGGACGAGACACAGGAUUGUGACCUUGCCAUGGCGCAGAGCUCUAUGGAUCCUUCGCGUUCUUUGAGCUCCUAAACAUUUCUCUAAUAUCAUAAUUGACAAUUGAACGUGAACCUCAAUUGAACAACCAAAGUAAAAGGCAGAUAAAUCAGGAUUUCGGAUUUGGUGGGUGGGAGUAGGACUGGAAACCCCAGGAUCCAGACAGAACUGGAAGCUAAUGUGUGAAAUUUGGAUUCUGUUAAAUGUUAACUAAACGCGUUUGUUAAAUGUUUCUAGUUUGGGCCUUUGGAAUUUGGACCCGACUGAGGCCACCACGAUCUCUUAUUUGAAACGAAUGAUGGUCUAAAUUGCCAACUGGUCUAGUGAAAUCGAAGAUAGUCUUAACUUGCAAACUCUUCGUUUCUAAAUUAUUUUAAAUUAAUUUAAUUUAUGUGAAAUGAGCUCCAAAUCAAUUAAUUAAAUGUGUAAGGAGAAAGAUGCGAACUUGGGUGCAAAGGGAACAUGCUGACAAAUCGAACUUGGAACAUGCUCACUAUCCAAGCUUGAGUGCAAUACCAACUAGUUUAACCACAUAUGCUAUUAUGGUCCGUUUUAAAGGCAAAAAUAAUAAAUGUGAAAAUCACCUGACACGGUUUUUUUCUUUUUUUUGUUGUUGCCAGAGUUAGGAAAUGAGAUGGGGGAAAACUCACACACGGGUACGACGGGAGCUUUUACCCAAUACACUUGAAAGCACACCAAGGAUCUAGGUCAAUCCAACUAACACCCCAUUAGUAAUCACAUCACAAGUAUACUUUGCACUAAAUAAUUAUGCUGAACAACAAAGUAAAUGAUAAUAGUGAUGUAAUGAGAUCUUCCAAUAAAGUAGACCAUAGGUUCCAUCUCAUUUUGCAGGCACUUUUUGGCGGCACCAUGAACUUCACAAGUUCAUCUAAAUUACAAGUUUUAGAUCAAAUGAGUGAAACAAAGUUUGACCGCUUCUACAUUCCGAAAAAUUAUAAGCUAGAAAACAUUGAAAGAUGGAUCAUCAAUCAACUCAGAAUGAUUACGACACCAGAGUUGACUGCGACACCAGAGUAGAUUUCUGACCCAGUGUCGAUUUGGGGAAAGAAUACUACUCCGAUUGUAGUUGUAUGGCCUAGCCACUAUGACAAACGAUAACGAACUGAUACACAAUAAUGGAACAACAAUUGCAAGAAAAGAAACAAAACCCUAAGCUUUUGUAGAGUGCCAAGUUAAAACAACAGAAGAAAAAGAAGCUAGACUAUCAUCGUCUGUAUAAGCGUUGUUUAUGAAUACAGCAUCAUUUGUCUUUGUCUUCGGUCAAUGGUUUGUUGUCCACAUAAGGAUAUUCAGGUGGGGCAGACCAUAGACCAACCAGUAUUACUAGGUGGAGGCAAAGAAGCAAUGCCGAUGAGUAAAGGCUUGAAGGAUACACAUUCCAGCAGAACUCCACCCCGAUAAACAACAUUACACUGCCCCAAACAACAUUGAAUCAACAAAUGACCGUUCUCAAAGUAAAUCAUGCAACAAUCAUUGCAAGCUAUGUAGCUCAUUAUUCAAGGAUAGAGCAGCCUACCGUAGUAAUGUAGGAAAAGGCGUUUUCCACAACAGAUAAGGUAAGCUAUGGAAAUACCUGCACUCAGACACAUUAUGAUCUUUGAGCCCUAUAAACAAAAUGAAUCCAUAUAUGGAAUAAACCAAGCAAUAUCAUCCAGCAAAACUUACCAAGAGUAGAACUGAUAAUGCAACGAUCGAGCACAUAGGAUGCCGAUGAAAUUCCCGACAAACAUCGUUGUCACAAUAUCUGAAAUCACCGUGCCCAAGUUAAUAUCAGUUAAAAGGACAAGUAGGAAGGCAAAAAGUUUAUUACAGGAGCCUGCAGCUUACAUUCUUUUCUAAGAACCUUGAUGGAUGAAUGGCUAUUGUAGGACUUCUUCAAAGAGAAUGAACUUGUAAGAGCAAGUUUGAGUUUUAUAGGAUCAAGUCUAGAGUACAAAAAUUUGAAAAGUCCACCUUCAUGCCUGCACGUGACCAUUACCACAACAUAUUCAGCAAAAAGACAUAAAUAUGUGGUCAUCCCUAAGUACACCACUUGUCAAGACAGUAGAGAGUUGCAUGUUAUUGUAGACAAGAGCCUAGCUUAGCUCCCACUUGUGAGUUGAGUGGUACAGCAUAGGAGGUUGUGAUACUCACAUGUAGAAAUAUGUCAAGGGCAGAAGAAAUGUUUUCUUCGUAAUUUUAAUUUUAUAACUUCCCAACAAAACUUUUAGCUUGUGGAUAAAAAAUAGGAUGAUCCUCACACCUUACGUCCACAUUUUCCAUGCACUUCCCAUUAUGACUUAUAAAGAAGAAGAUGAGCACUUUUACUUACAUGCACCAUCUAUAAUGAGCAAAAGCUGUAAGUAAACCAAGGUGCGCAAUCAGCAAAGAGAUUGCAAAUGCCUUUGAAACAAAUAUUGGCUCAGGAACGAACUUGAAAUUGACAGACCUGAAAAAUAGUCUGCAUGUUAUUUUGCAACAAAAGAGUAGACGAAAUAAUCAAGAAAAGAAAUUUCAAAUCAAUAGUAUACUGCACGUAUUUCUAUAUGUGCUAAAAAAAAUUUGAAUGGAAAAGGUCCUCUUCAAUAUCUUUAAUUAUAAGGUCAAAGAAUGUACCAGAAGUGGAUAAAGACACGCCCAAGAUUAAACGCUCUUGAGAUGUAUGCAAAUGGAUGAGACAUGAUGAAAGGUAUUCCCAAAAGUAUCUGCAGAACCAUUUAGCAAGUAGCUGUCAACAAAUGAACACCAUAACUGGACUUGCUCUUGAAAUGAGGAUCUUGAAGUCUAGCUCACCUAAAAACAUUGGAAUAAAACACAAACAUUCAACUUCCGCAUUAUCAGAGUUGCUUACUCUGUGAAUUCUAAAAUUGAAAGAAUAAACAUAAUAGAACAUAAAUCAAGGCUGCAAGGCUGAAUAUAAUGGAAACUUUUUUCACGCCUAUGCAGGCAUUAGUCUGUUGAAAUCAAAAGGGAAGAAGUAAGCACCUGGACCAGCGCUGCACCAGAUAAAGCUGAUAUCACUCCACCUAUAUUCAUAGCCUGUAAAAGAUGUGUUGCUAUCUGAGAAAUUUUAACAAAUAACUCAAGCCAAAUUUAAAGAAAUAUAGUUUUACACAAAUUAAUAUUACCUUUAACAUAAGGAGUAGUAGAAGUGGAGCAUAGAGGAGCACAUUCAUCUUAACCGAAACAGCUCCACUUUGACAGAUCACAAAAGGCAAAGUUAAACAAUUAUCAUUUACCUCGACAAAAGUUCAUCAAGGAUGUAAGAAUGCUACCUGAAAAUGAUCAGCCCUAGAUGCCACCUUUGGUGAAGAAGUGAUACCAACGAAGCAUGCAGGAGCAUCAUGGCCAAACAGUCAUUAAAAAGACGGAGCACAAAAAUAGAAUGCAUUCUUUUUGAUAGGCAAAGCAAGCUCAUAGCCCACCACGGAACCUGCACAACAAUUAAAGAACAUUAGAAAACAAAAUCAGAGCUGAGACAUAAGGGACAAUUACAGUUUGACACAAAGGUAUGAGCUGAGUGAACAAUCGGCAGUUAUCCACAAAAUCAGACAACAUUUCUUUGAAAACUGAAAAAUGCACGUAAAAUGAGUCAUUCAAUUUUGUCAUACCACAUCUGUCUUCCCAUAGAUGAAUAAUAUGAUUCCCAAGUUUAUAAUGUACAAAACCCCGAACAAAAUCUGCAAAAAUGAAAUAAAAUAGAAACCAUGAGAUUAAAAAUUAUGGGUAAACCAUACAAGAAAAACAUCGAUAAUAAAAUUCGUAAUCCGAAAAAGAAUAGAUUACCUGAGCUGGAUAAACUUCGCCUCCUGUAACAUACCGAACAGCAGAAUAAAAGUAUAGGAAACCAGCAGGAUAGACCAGUGGCCCUGUGUCGCCUUUUAAGUUACCAUAAUCUCUUUCUCCAUCAAGAAACCCACUAACCUGUCAAUUGACUAUUGUUAUUUUCUUGGCAGAUUUCUAAGGAACCAAACAGAGAAGAGGAAAAAAAAUGAGAUUGAGGAAGAUCACCCACUUGUGACAUGUAAGCGUCCCAAUCUAUCUUCGUAUCUGAAACCAAACACUUAUGCUAUGACCAAUCCACAUUCAUGCAUACAUACAUACAUACAUACAUACAUAUGUGUAUUUGGGUGCGUGAGGGACAAAAAAUCUUACAAGGGACAUAUGCAAUGAUGAGGGCGACGAGGACCGCAUCGCAGAGGAGCAAAGCGAAAGCAAAAGCUACCUUAGGAUUUUUGAAUAGCUUGAUAUUUGAAGCCUUAGAACUCCGCUGCUGCGAGGGCUUCACCCGCCUCGCCGAUUUGACCGCCAUGGUUGAAUCGUCCUUGGACCUGGAGCUACUGGAGCUCGAGACUCUGGUCAGUGGUCAUCAACGUGCAAAAGCCAAAAGAAGGCCUAACCGUUAGAUUUGAAUACUCACGAUCUGACCUUGCUGAGAAUCGGACCAGUUAUUGGUGAACAGAAGCUCAGGCUCAAUCAAACCAACAGCAUAAGAGUUAUGACUUGGCUGGCCCGAAAGUGAAAUAAACCCAGAAGGUUAAGCCCAAUAUAGGCCCAUUGUGGGGACAAGGAUGUGGAAUGGACUCACUAGUUUUUUUAAUUUUUUUUAAUUUUAUGGAAAGUGAAAAUAUGACCAACGAAAAAAGAUGUGAGCUCGAUAUACAUUGAUUGUUACUCUUUCCAUGAUAGCUUAAGUUUUUGGUCUAGUGGUGAUUUUCACAUGCAUAUCUUUUUUGUUUUUGUUUUUAUAAAGUGAUAUUCUAAACUACUCUAAUGCAUGGGAAGAGAGAUUGAACUCGAAUGCAAUAGAACGGAUAUACUAUCUUAACCAACUAUUCUAACUUAAAUUUGCAAUAAUGAAUAAUAGGAUUUCACAUAUGAGAGGAUGUCGAUUUCAUACAUUAUUGGAGCCCUUAAACUUUUGAAUACUAGUGAUUGUUUAACUGUGCAAAUCACAAUUUUAUUUUUACUUUUACUUAGCCAAGAAUGUGAACGUGUUUGUUCCAUGAACUCCAAAUAGCGGGCUACGCUGUGGGGAGACUUGAGGUGGAGGAGACAGAGAGAGAGGGAGAGUGAGUCAGUUGAGUUGAGUUGUGUGUUUUGGAUGAAAUACAAGUUGGACAAGAGUCAUCUUCCCUCGCAAUCUUAUCCCAUGUGUGAGUCACCGAGACAAACCGACAUUGUGGUUUUGGUUCUAACUCUCUAAGCCAAGCCACGUGGUGGUUGCUGCACUCAACUUCAACAUCCACAGAGGCACACAGCAACUAGCCAAAUGUAAAACACCAACGAAACCAUUGGAGCAUUGCUGCUGCAGGCCCGUGCUUGCUACCAUAUCUACAAUCUCUCUCACCCACGUGUAUGUAUUCCACCAAGCCAUCCACUACUUGCCUCCUCCUCCGCCCACCUGUCUCUCCAUUUUCCUACUUUCUCAAACUGAUUUAGCCCCUUAAACUCGCUCUCCUCUAUAUAACCCCCACCUGAAAUUCCUCCAACAGAAACCAUACACAGAACAAACACACACACUCUCUCUCUAAAAUAUGGAUUCCCAGAACCUCAAACAACGCAGAACAGACGAUCCCGACACCGCUGCCGCCACCACCACCAUGAACAAGAGCAAUUACAAAAGCAAAAAGGAUAUGCGGAUGGACAUGGCCAAACGCGGCCUUAGAUCAUUGGCCGUGGCGGUUGCAAUCCCUGUCUCUCUCCACCUGCUUGCUAUUUACUUGGGCUCCACCGACAACUACCCCACCGGCUCCUCCAAGCCCUUCUGGUUCCCGCCCUUGUGGGCCCUGCGCUUCAUUUGCCUGGCUUCCAGUUUCUUGAUGGGUCUCUCGGCUUGGCUUGUGUGGGCUGACGGUGGCUUCCACAAGAAUCCCACGGCUCUGCCUCUUUAUCUGGCCCAGCUAGGAUUGAAUUUGAUUUGGGAUCCGAUUGUGUUUGGGGCAGGAGCGCCUUGGGUCGGGUUGCUGGUGUCCAUGGGUAUGUUUGGGACUAUGGUUGCCUGUACUCGGGUGUUCAAGAAUAUCAAUCCAGUUGCAGGUGAUCUGAUGAAGCCCACUUUGGCAUGGGUUGCCUUUUUGGCCAUUGUAAAUCUUAAGCUAGUGUUCCAUUGAAAAUUUCAUGUACAAAGCUUUAGUAUCUUGACAUAUACGGUGUUGUUGUGUAAGCAUUUCUCAAUAUGAUGAUUAUGAGCUUAAUGUGUACUUUUCUUCUAGACUUAGGCCCGUUUGGGAUUGUUUUCUCCACCAAAAAUCUUUAAAAUCACAACACAUAUAUACUUUGCACUAAUUAAUUUUGCAAAACAACAAAGUAAAUUAUAAUAGUGAUGUAAUAAGAUCUUCUGAUAAUAGGGUCCAUCUCAUUUUGCAUACAGUUUUAAUGGCUCUAUGAACUUCACCGGUUCAUCAAAAUUGUAAAAUUGAGAUCAAAUCAUUAUCAGAAUUAUACAUCAAAUCAUUAUCAGAAUUAUACAUCAAAUCACGAACAACUUCAACAACCGAAAAAAAAUCAAAUGAAACAAAACAUUUAUUCAUGCUGAUUUUUCUAAGAGCGAUUUAUGCACUAGGUUUCUUGCUCAAUCCUACUACAGGAAAGGCAACCUUGUAAGUCCAUCCAAGCUGAAACUGAGACUAAAAAUUGGACACCAAUGCUAAGUUGGUCCCAGAAAGGAUUCAUCUUGGUCACUGGAAUCUUGGAUAAUCUGCUUCCCUCAGCAUCUUUUCCAAAUUGCCUCCAUUUGCAAAUCACAGAGAUUAGACAGUCCCAGUGAAACCUACCAAUACUAAGUGCUUUCCCAGUGCAAUCUGAUCCUCAAUUUCAAUCCAGCAGACACAUUUUCACCCACAAAUGUGACAGAUGUGCUACAUAGGAACCAGGUUUCCUCCACAGUGAUCGAAGUUCCAAGUCCUACCACCACUAACGUAUUUGAUGACCAAAAGGAAUUGGAAAAAAGAAAAUAUUCUGCUGGUUAUUAAUGACCUACUCAACUUGGCAAAGCUUCCUCAGGGUUAUGGAGAUUCUCCUCUUCUGAUUUAGUUCCUUCCCUUCCCACUUCUGAAAUCCAGGCAUGCGGUUAAUCUCGUGCUUCCAAAGGUACCUUGCUUCUCCUGACAUAAAAAUUAGGGACCCUGGGGUAAGAUAAACAGGAAUCUUGGCCAUGGGCGGAUCCUUUUCACCAUCCAUUAAAAAGCCCCUGCUUGUUCCAUCAACUAGACUGAAAUGCAUCACGCAUGAUGACUCCAGGGAGAGAAUGGCAAUUCCAUCUUCAAAUCGCAUAAGGUCAAUGUGUGCACAGAUCCCCUGCACAAAAAUGCCGGGAGGAGGGGUGAUGUCAACCUCACUUGUUGUUCUAGUAUCAGCAUAUCAAAUGCACAUAGUUGAUGGUAAAACAAAUGGCUGAAACUUUAAUUAUUUUGAAGAAUACAGUAUUAUGCUCAUUAUGAGACAUAAAGCAAUGUUUACUUCAAUAUUUUUGAUAGAAAUCAACAUCUGGGGCUAAAAAUAAUAAUUUCUCAUACCUCACCUGGUUGGUAAGAAUUUAGAAUUAGUUGGUCGAAGAGUGGCUCUCUGCAGAAAAGAUCUGAUGGAAAUGAACACGCAUUCUCUUUCACAUUAUCAGCACUUCCCAAUACUAUAGGUUCAAGAACAAAGUCACUCGCAAGUACAACCUUGCGAAUAGAAUGCGAAAGCUCAGCUGCCCAUGAUGGAAGGUCUCCAAAUCUCAUAGCCUACAGGGAAAGGAAAUUCUUUCAGUUGGCUUGGCUAGUGGGAUGGAUGAUAUUCAAUUGGCUUAUGUAUGCAUCACUCGUUCUCUUCAAUACAGGUGAUCAGCAAAUUUGACAACCAAAGUAGUAUCAGCAAAUCCAUACCAAAAACAAAGGACAAAGCUUAUAUUCCUUGUCAUCUAUCUCAACUUUUUAUUUGAUAAAGCAGUUAGCAUACAUUUCAUAUACAGUUUGCCAAUUGGGGUAGUAAUUGAAAUGCUUUUCAUAUACAGGCUAACCAGAUUUUGCAUAUCAAAAUCCCAUCUUCCCCAUUUAAUUUUAUGCAUUUCAAUAAAGAAAUGCACCAGGCCAAUCCAUAAUUUGCAUCCUAAAUGUGUAUGCAUAUGGGAUUAUACGCACCUGAUUGUGCGAGGCUUGAGUGAACCAUCCUUCUGCAACCACAAGUUAAUAAAAGCCACUACAUAUGAGAUUAUUGCAGACAACACCACCAAGCAUACAUAUUUAGUUCACUUAACAAGUUAAACUAAUCUUGAAAAUUCAAAAGAGACUAUGAGUGAGAAGGAGACGCACCGUUCUGGAUUGUGGAGAGCAAGGAAGACUGGCUUUGAGGAGGGAGGAAGUCUCUGCACAACCACAACCCUUUGAUUUCUUUGAUUGGUUCCCAGGAAUGGCUUGGGUCAGAUCCAUCUCCCAAUUCCAAGUCCUCGCCGUCCGAUGAGUCGCCGAACACUUGCCUCAGAAUUUCCUCGUUGGCAGCAUCCAUUUCCUCCUCGUAAUUUUGAGCAGGCAAAAGCUAGUAAUUUUAAUAACAAAAAGUCAUUUUUUAUCUCCGUAAUUUACCUGUCUAAUCACUUUGAAUUGAAAUUACCAUAAUUGAAAAACCACAUAAAUAAAUAAAAUUUGAAAAAUCCAACAGAAUCAAAAAUGACUUUUUGCACCGUUGAUCUGAUGUAAUGUUAAACUACUUUAAACCACUGAUUUUGACGACUGGUUUGUAAAAGAACCUUUCGUACGGUACGCAACUUUGCGCAGUAUCCUUAGCCUCGUCGUAGGUGAUUACUGAUUGGAUGAAUCAAACAGACGCCUCGGCGAGCGUGCCACGCCAAGUGGAUUGCAUUCGCAUAGCCCUUCGUGCCAUGCACAGAACAGUUCACCCAGCACAUCGACACGUACCCGUUGCAGUGUCAUCCUUAGAGGUCCACGUGUCACCAUCCUGUAUGACGACCCCAUGCUGCCCUCGCUUCUUCUCAGCCGUCCAUAUAUUCCUACCAAGUACCAACAGAGGAAGACUUCCCCGGGAAAUCCUCCCGUUGACACAUUUAACCAUAUCCACGGAUUCAAGAAGCGCCACGUGGCAAAAAUAUCUCAUCCUGACCGUAGAUUUUCUUGGAGAUUGUCGCCCAAGGUUGGGCUCCCUAUAAAGACGGAAUAGUUGCAACGCUUCCCUUCGUCUUCCUCGUUUCAAUUCAAAGAGUGAUUCAGAAGGUUUUCUCUUGAAAAGGCAUCAAAAUUUUAUACACAGAGCGAAAUGGCGGAUUCAGAAGCUAAGCAGACAACAGAAACGGUAAACACUCUCUCUUCGUCUUUUGUAUUUUCUUGUGUAUGAGCUUCCUUCUGCUUGGUUUGAAAACGCUCCGUUUUCCGGCAAAAAUCGACCAAUAAGUUGAUUUGUGUUUUGUUUUUUUAAUAUCGUAUGUGGGAUCUUGAACGAAGGUGCAAGUGAAUGAGAAAAAUCUCAAGUAUAUGGAGUUUGUUCAAGUGGCGGCGAUUUACGUCGUGGUGUGCUUCUCGAGCCUCUACGAGUAUGCAAAGGAAAACUCCGGUCCACUUAAACCGGGGGUUCAGACCGUGGAAGGCACCGUCAAAACCGUAAUUGGACCGGUCUACGAGAAGUUCCACGACCUUCCCUUCCAGCUGCUCAAAUUUGUCGAUCGCAAGGUCAGUCUAAUUCAGAAACGAAAACCCUAGAUUUUGCCGCCUGUUCAUUUCUUGAUCGUGAUCACGUGGUUUGCAGGUGGACGAGUCCUUCAGCGAGUUGGACCGUCGCGUGCCCUGUCUUGUGAAGCAGGCGUCGAGCCAAGCCCUAUCGGUGGCUCAGAAGGCUCCGGAGGUGGCUCGAACCGUGGCUUCGGAAGUCCAGCAAGCUGGCUUGGUGGACACGGCUAGGAACCUCACGGUGAGCGUGUACGCUAAAUACGAGCCAGUGGCUGAGCAGUACGCGGUGUCGGCUUGGCGCUCACUGAAUGGGCUCCCGCUGUUUCCCCAAGUGGCUCAGAUAAUGGUCCCUACCGUGGUUUACUGGUCGGAAAAGUACAAUGAGGCUGUUGGUUACACGGCCGACAGAGGCUACUCCGGGGCGGCGUUUCUGCCGUUGAUUCCGACGGAGAGGAUUGCCAAAGUGUUUGAUGAAGCCGAGAAUGGCCCUGCUGUUUCGACUAGUGGUGGAGCUGUUGCUAUGGAGCAGUGACAACCGUUGAUUUGGGUGGUUCUUACGGGUUUAUCUUUUUUAUGUGAGUUUUGUUUUGGGCCCGUUUUCCCUGGUCUUGAAUUGUAAAUUCAAGUGGUAAAACAGUAUGGGCUGCAAGAAAGUUUUGGUUGGGUUUCGUUUAGCAUAAAUUUUGUUUUAGUUUUAUUUUAACCGUGUUAACUAAUAAAUUUUGUUGAACUUAAGUUUAAGUUGUUGAAAGCAGUUUAAGUGAUCUAAUACAAGCAGUUCCAAUCCAAGUUGUAUUAAGCAGCAGAAAUAAUUUGAAAUGCAUAUAAGUGAACCCAACUGCAAUUUACUUCCAGGAAAGCAACAACGAAAUUCAAAACUUCUGUUCGUGUUGAAAUCACAUAAUCCUCGAUCAGAUUCAUAACAGCAACAUCUUAUUGAACAAGUGAAACAAUGGUAAAACUAAAUUCCCCUCCCUCUAGGUGGUUCCAUCUCAUUUUUUUAACAAUAAAGUGAUAGCAAACUCCAGAUCAAAAC
rnacentral:lncRNA from 1 species